rnacentral:lncRNA from 12 species
GCCAAACGUCCUUUUUGCUGGACUUAUCAACUACAUGGGCAAGACUCGCUUGUGUUGGCAAUCAAAAAUGAUUUCUGUGGCAUCUACUUUCUGAAGAGUCAUAACCUGUCUGGAUCCUGGCCUGCAAGACUCUAGGUUGGUUUCAAGAGCUGGAAAAUGGCCUGUCCAGAGAAGCAGAAGUCAGAGCCAUCCUAAAGGCUGCAACUACCCACUGCUGCAACUUUUCCCCUUCACAUUUGUGUUCAAUGACUUAGGCCUAUGAAGAGACCAACACUG